GUGCAUGAUUCCACUUCAUAGACUGCCUAUUCUGCUCUAGCUAGAACCAUAUCUCUGUUCAGAUGUAUGCAGCAAUCAAAUCAGAAGUAUGAUAUUAUUGAGAACGUUGGAUGCUUGACUUUUGCAUCUGAUUUGCAUUCCUGCUUUUGCAAAGCAAGUCAAUGAGUAGGAGACAAGUUGAAGGGCAAGAAUUACAAUGUUUAAGUGAAACUGGUCUUUUCCAUGCAGUAUCUGAUAUCAUGUAGAAGAAGAAAAAGAGUAUAUCUAUAGCAGAAAAUUUCUCAUCCAUGAUCGUUAUCAAAAGCAAGGGAGGCUUGCUGAACAGAAUGGGGGUUAUUACUAAUAAAAAUUAAUUUAUAUCUCUUCCCAUCUUAUCCUCAUUCAUUAAGAUGUUCUUAUUCUUUAUCAACGGUAUCAUUGGGUUAAAUGAGUCGAGUUGAUUGAAAAUAAGGAGACCGACAUCAGCUUAAAUGGAAUCUUGUAUCUGCUCUAUCUUCCGUGUGUCUUAGGUCAUGUGCUGUUAGUGUACAACUAUUUGUCUUUCAGUUUCUGACUGUUCCAUUGAUGUUGGCAGAUUUGAAGGGUUUUGCAUGAUCAAGGACUCGUUUCCUUAUCAAAGCCUUAUCCGCAGGAGUUUUCUUAAGAUGUGAGCUGGAGUUGUGUUGCAUGCACAGAGAAAUCAUAUAGUCACAGGGCAGUAGAUUUUCAUUUCUUCAGUUAUUACCUAAAUAAUGCAGAAUUCUGAUGAUGAAAAGGUUUUCUUUUUCCCGGACAUGUUAAAUGAUUUUAAUUAAUAAAGCAUAAAAAAGAGUCUCGUUUAUCUUAUUUGAUUUUUAAUUUCAUUUAUUUCGCAGCUUGGUGUCAAUCUUCAUGGCAGACAGGAUAGUGAUUUGAUUUCAGGUAUACCCAUCAAGAAAAGGCCCUUGAUUUUAGCUCAAUCUCCACCGCCUCCACCUCAAACACCAUCUUCGCAAGAUGGUGAUUGUGGUACACCACAAAAGAAUCUUCAUUGCUUGGAGACAAAGCCUGCUGUUUCAGAAACUGAUGGACUGCCAGCUUCAGGGACCGACUUUACCAUCAAGGGUUCUUCCUCUGAAUCUAUAAGCGACACAAACUUAGUUCCAAAUCAAGAAGUUCUUUCUGCUUUAUCUCAUCACGAAGAGGAGCUAAAUAUGACUCCUAGUUCUGAUAAGGGAACAUGUGUUGAAGACCAAGUUGCUGGAAGCACACUACAACUAUCAGCACUGAAGGAACCGCUUGAUCUUCCUUUAAGUGAAAGUAGUGGAGGGGUGUUUGUUCCAUUUGAUAAGUCUGCAAUUCACAAAGUUAUAGGUAAUACAGAAUUUCAAAUGACACUUAAAGGGCCAUUUGCACCGUCCAAUGAUGUGCAAACUAGUGAAAGGAGUUUGUUGAAGCUACAGAAACUAGAUUUCUGUUGUGAUCAUUCUUCAGCUGAGAAACAGCAACGUCAUCAAAGCAGAUGUAGCCGUGCUGAAGCGAAAGUUGACUCUGCAUUUCCAUACUCAAAUAGGUCAAACUGGGAUUUGAAUACUACAAUGGAUGCAUGGGAAGGCUCCUUGAAUGACCCAAACCAUGAAACUGGUGCGUAUGAGGCCGGUCUUGUAUCAACAUUUUCUAGAGAAUCCAAUGGGACUGAUGAGACACUUGGAAACAGUCAAAAUUUAAAUGCCGAAAACCUAAUGUCAUCCAACUUAUCCUUGCCUAUAAAUGAGCUUCACGACUCUGCGGUUUGCCUAAAUUCACAAUGUAAAUCAGUAAUCAAUUCUGAGUAUUGCACUACUUUGGGUGCUGCUUGUCCUUCUGUUAGACUUAACUCUAUUACAGAAAUGCCUUAUCCAAGUUCAUUGGUGAAACCUAUUCCCCCAGCCUGCAAUUCAAAGUUGGCUACUUGUGGAGCUGUAAAAGCUGAACCAUGUGAUGAAAGUAGUCAUUUGGAUGCCCGGAAAGUCGAAACAAGUUAUGUGAAAGCAGCUGGUUGUAAAGAUGCAAAAACUGAACUAUGCGAAUAUUUAGGAGAAGCAAUGAAAGCAACAGGUUAUGGUGAUCUAAAAUCAGCAUGCAAAGCAGCUGUAAAAUCAGAGCCACUUGAGAAUCAAGCUCAACAGAACCUUGGGGGUACAGCCAUGCCCCAGUAUGAAAGUGAAUGUUUUAACAAGGCCUUGAGUUUGAUGUCUCAGUCUCCGGUUUUGAACACUAAGCAUGAUGGGUCAGAGCUGCCUCCUGGAUGCAUUCCUGUGAACGUGAAAGAGAAUGUUGGUGGGGCUACAAAACAUUCUGUUCAAACUUUUAACCCCCAUAAUUAUAUACCAUGCAGUGGUGGAGAGAUCGCCAUUAGUACCAGCCAUCCCCAAAAUGCAAGUGGAAUUGUCAACAAAUGUUCGAAUAUGUUUUCAGAAGCCCACAUUUCUGAGGCUGAGGAAAUAAAAUCUGGAAAGAAAGCAUGGGAGACAGCUGAAACCAAGUCAAGUGGUACUGUCGAGGUUCUUGCCCAAACAGGCUGCCCAGACGGUGUUCGUUAUCAUUCCUCUGAAUCUUCUUUAGCAGAUGAACUUCAUGUAGGCUUGCAUGGAAAUAGCAAGCUAGAUGAGGUCCAGGAGGCGAAGAUUGAUGUAUCUGCUGAGAUCAAAGAAGAGUCACAUGACAAUAAAUACAAGUCAGAUAGUUCUUGUCAUGACAUUGGUACUGUGAAUAUUGUUUAUAAGCAGAGUGGCCAAAUUGAUGAUUAUGAAGAUGGUGAAGUGAUGGACAUGGCAUUGCAUUGUGGAAUUGAAGAUUCCUGUGAGGAAGGAAAAGAGCAACAGGUAAAUGAUGCAAGCAAUGCUGAUCCAAUUCAUCAUCUUGAUGUUUCCAUUGUGAUGCCUUCAAGCGUAGAUGUACAGGAAAAAAGAACAGAGAAGUUGGACAAGUUAAAUAAUGUUCAAGGCACUGAAGAGGGUGAUGUUGGUCUAUGUAAUGACAGGAAUGAUCAUGGCAUCCAUAAAGCAACAAAUGCUCAUCAAUUUGCAGCUGUUGGAGGUGUAAUUUCUGGAUCUGCUGAAAAGAAGCUCAUUAAAACCAUGUCUAAUAAUUGUUGGGAUCAAUCAAAGAGAAACAAGGACCCUGAAGCAAAAUUGCCAAAUAGUGGUUCUCUUCUUGUGGGAACAAUUAAAGAAGGUAGUCGAGGUGAGAUUGUCAGACAUCCGGAGAAGAUUUCUAGAGGAUCUGACUUUCUGCGAGCUAAAGCUUCUGUUUUGUCCAAAACAGAGUCAGAUAAAAACGGUGAUAGAAUAAAACAUGUUGGCAGUAACCAUGGGCGCAUUAUUGAUCUGAAGUCUGCUCGAGAUGGAUUAGCAUCUGGAAAACCAAAAUCUUUGGCUGACAAGCCAUUAUCAUCACUACAUGUGAGGGAAGAUUCCAUUGGUAAAUUAUGGAGGCAAGAUAAAUCACAUUACUGGGGGAGUAGGUGAUAUUUCAUACAUCAGAAGCUCAGCUUCAAUGUUGUUAUAAUAAAUACCGAUGAUCAGGUAUCUGACUAUUGACUUUUCUUUUGUUUCAGAGAAGUAAACUGCAGUGACAGGUCCAGGAAAUUUGAAAGCGAGAAGAACUAUGAGCAGUUUGUUGCUAAACGUGGAUCAAAUUACAAACACAUUAGGAGUAGAGAUCGCAAUGAGUUAAGAUCAUCACAUGAUGAUAGAAAUUCUGAGCCUGGGCUUUUAUUGGAACAAGCUAAUCGUUCAAGUGGUUAUCGAUUUCUGCGACCUAAAUAUGUAUCUGAAGUUGUGUCCAGUGGGUCUACUGGAAAUGCUGGUAGGAUUGCAAGGAAGCCCAUCAGUGGUGAAUUUCAGACCUUCUCUCGUAUGCCUUAUAAAAGGCGUUCUCCUGGAGAAAAGGGACGAGAACCAGUUGGCAGUCAAAUGAUCCAUCAUCUUCAUCCUAUGAGGGAUAUCAGCCCUAGGAGGUGCAUUGGUCGAGAUGCUGCUGAUUUUGAAUUACUGGCUCAUGAAGAAAAACUAUUGAGGAACUUGCCUAAUGACAUGGAUGACAUGGUGGAGCCUCCUUUGCUCUUGCACCCUUGUUCGCCAUAUGAACGAGCAGAUGGCACUGUCAACCGUAGACUAAGGAGGAGCCUAUCACCUAUUCGGCAAGGAGGCUUAAAACAUAUAUCUCACAUGUUCUCAGAAAUUUCUCCAAUGUCUGAUAUGCGUUCUCUGCAUCAGUGGUCCCCACCCAGAAGAUCAUCUGAUGUCUUGGAUGGACGUCGAGAGCUAAUCCACUGCAGGUCUCCACCAGUUGUCCGGCUUGGUGGAAUGAGGCCACCUCAUCAGCACGCUUAUUUUAUGGAAGAUGCGACGGUCAGAAGGCACGGUUCCCCAUCUUAUGUUGCACGGUUGCCUGGUGAUAUGGUAGAUUUUGGUCCUUCAAGAGAGCAUGAUUAUCAAAGGUAUGCUACGCAUCCUUCGAGGAAUUUUCGAAGGUUAGAAUUGAUUGAAUCUUGUGAAAAUGCAGAUGAAGAACUUUGUUCACCAUUGCUCCGCAGACAAUUUCAUGAACCUGCAAGAGAUGAUGACUAUUCUACUGAUAGAAGAAAGUAUCAAGAGAGGCAUGAACCUGUUCGUUCUAUGAGGCGCCAUUUCAGUGUUCGUGAUGAUGAUAGCAUGAAUUUUGAUUUUCAUGAUGAGAGGGAUCCUCGAGCUUUUAGGCAUUGUCG
rnacentral:lncRNA from 1 species